CCUCCCACUAGAUGUCACAAUUUACGCCCUGUGUCCCUAAUUAACUUUGAUUGUUGUCACCUGAGGCCUGAUAUCCCUGUGUAUACAGCAUUUCAGUUCCCUUUUUGUUUUGUGGUCCAUUUCCUUAGUUUAUUUUUUAUUUAAUUUUUUUUGUACCCUCUUGAGGUGCAGAUUUAGAAAUUUCCCUCUUGAGUUGUGGAGUGACUUUUUACAAUUUUUCGUUGUUUUGGACAAUUGAAAGAAAACCAAUGGAUUUCCAACGCUUCUGAGUUUGUCUCUGCACCAUCCUCAUCUGAAAGACACCAGAAGCAAAGGCCACUGCUGUUGGUAAGAUGGUGUGUGGGUAAUUCUGCCAUUGCUUUGGAAUAAGGGCAACGACUUUCAGGCCAAGAUUUGAUGCAUCACUUGUUAGGCUGCCAGCAGACAUUGUGUGGACACUGAGGGACAAACUAACAAGUCGUCCCAAUGUAAAGCCAGAGUGCGGAGGUGGACAACUCAACACUGAACAAACUGUACUCCACAGAAAGAAUUGUGUAGGGAAUCAGCAUUUCAGAUGAGAAACAAAAUACAAAUCUGGCUGGAGGAGAACCGGUGCAGUAUUGCCCUGGUCUCGAAAGGUAAAUUUUUUCAGAAGUUUGCAUAAAUAGCAGAAGUACAAAUGAAAACAGUAUGAGGAUAUUUGGUCCAGACCUCAGGAGACCCCGAUUCACGAUAUCUGAAGACGUCUUGACCCCACUUCAGUCACUUCCACUGAAUAAUUGUAUAUUUAAUUAAUAAAAGUAUAACAUGAAAAAAUAUA